AUUCUAGUCCCAAUAUUAUACUAACUAAAGUAUUAAAAGUUAUGGUCUCCAAAUUUAAAGGAUUUGGCGGUGAUUUAAUCCUAUUAGAGGAACCUGUUAAGUAAACGAUAAACCACGCAAAAUCUUACCUAUUUUCAGUUUGUAUACCGUCAUUAUUAGAUAACUUUUCAAGAAAUAGUUAUUGAAAUAAGAAUUCUUAAUAUAUUAGAUCAAGGUGCAGCUUAUAAAUAGGAAAAUAAUGGGUUACAUUAAGACUUAAUUACACGGAUAUAAAAUAUAAAUAUUUUAUUUAAGGAGGAUUUAAUAGUAAACUUAGUUUAAUAAGCUAAUUUGACAAUGGACCUAAAUCGUGUACAUAUCGCCCGUCACUUGCAUUCCCAAAUGAAAUAAGUCGUAACAUAG
rnacentral:rRNA from 1 species